ensembl:rRNA 5S_rRNA 5S ribosomal RNA
GCUUACGGCCACACCACCCUGAACACGCCCGAUCUCGUCUGAUCUCGGAAGCUAAGCAGGGUCGGGCCUGGUUAGUACUUGGAUGGGAGACCGCCUGGGAAUACCAGGUGCUGUAAGCU